rnacentral:rRNA from 1 species
UACGUAGGGGGCAAGCGUUGUCCGGAUUUAUUGGGCGUAAAGAGCUCGUAGGCGGUUUGGUAAGUCUGGUGUGAAAUCUCCACGCUCAACGUGGAGGGGCCACCCGAUACUGCCAUGACUGGAGUCCGGUAGAGGAGUGUGGAAUUCCCGGUGUAGCGGUGAAAUGCGCAGAUAUCAGGAGGAACACCAGCGGCGAAGGCGGCGCUCUGGGCCGGAACUGACGCUGAGGAGCGAAAGCGUGGGUAGCAAACAGG